rnacentral:siRNA from 1 species
UCGUAUGGAUGCAUUCAAUAAUGU